UUGGCAUCCCGAGAACUUUCCAGAGAUGGUUUGGUGCCUUUGGGAACUUUGAGACAAGGGCUGCAUGGCUGUCGUCAGCUCGUGUUGUGAAAAGUAGGGUUAAGUCCCGCAACGAGCGCAACCCUUAUCCUAUGUUGCCAGCGGUUCGGCCGGGAACUCAAAGGAGACUGCCAGUGAUAAACUGGAGGAAGGUGGGGAUGACGUCAAGUCAUCAUGGCCCUUACGAGUAGGGCUACACACGAGCUACAAUGGCGCAUACAAAAAGAAGCGACCUCGCGAGAGCAAGCGGGCCUCAUAAAGUGCGUUGUAGUCCGGAUUGGAGUGUGCAACUUGACUCCCAGAAGUCGGAAUCGCUAGUAUUCGUGGAUCAGAAUGCCACGGUGAAUACGUUUCCGGGCCUUGUACACCCCGCCCGUCACCCCAUGGGAGUGGGUUGCAAAAGAAGUGGGUAGCUUAACCUUCGGGGGGGGGCUUACCACUUUGUGAUUCACG
rnacentral:rRNA from 1 species